UCGAUCGCUACAAUAAGAAACUGCAGAUGAAAGCAGUUAUGUUUGUUAUUACCCGUCCUGUGUCACAGCCUAAAUCAACUUAUAAUUUGGGGUUAUUUCAUUGUUCUACAAAUUCAAACAUGAUUAGUUGGAAUGAUUACUGUGUUGUGUUGCAAGCUUAGUUGCUAGUCACAUCUCUACAAUAACUGCUGCUUAUCUGGUCAGUUACCUAUAGCUUGUAUCAUAGCCAUUAUUUUUGUAGGACCAAUACAAUUUACAGUAAAUUUAACAUUGUCUUUUCUAUACUGUAGGGGGACACAUCCCAGUUACCCACAUGCAAGGAGGCUGUCAAACGGAGAAAUCACUGCAGACUGUUGGUACACAGACAUCUGCUACCCAGCUCAGGAGUGAAGGUGAUGGUGAGGACAGCCACAGCUUCCAUCUGGUAGAGGACUGCUUCCGCUCAGUCUUCCAAAUAGUGAUGAGAACAAGGAUCACCACAUCUCCCUGGUCAUCUAUUUACAACUAACCUGUUCUGCUGCAGAAACAAAUCUCCAACAUAACAAAGUGUACCCCCUGCACAGGACAUGGACUGUUUACCCUACUUCCAUGCAUUUCGUCUGCAAGGCCCUGCAAAAGCUUCUGUCUUUAAACCCCCAGACUUCUUAAUUAACUCAGUAAGCUAUACAUUGCACACUGGAGUGUGAAGGUAACAGUUUGUUCUAGCUUUGGAGUAAUGGUGCAUUUUUUUGGUUGACAAUAAAGUUGGCUUUAACUAUUACGUAUUUCA
rnacentral:lncRNA from 1 species